rnacentral:rRNA from 1 species
GAUGAACGCUGGCGAUAGGCUUAACACAUGCAAGUCGAGGGGCAGCAUGGUCUUAGCUUGCUCAGACUGAUGGCGACCGGCGCACGGGUGCGUAACGCGUAUGCAACUUGCCCCACAGAGGGGGAUAACCCGUCGAAAGACGGACUAAUACCGCGUAAACUCCAUCUUGGGCAUCCAAGGUAGAGGAAAUGAAAUUCGCUGUAAGAUAAGCAUGCGUCCCAUUAGCUAGUUGGUGAGGUAACGGCUCACCAAGGCGACGAUGGGUAGGGGAACUGAGAGGUUGAACCCCCACACUGGUACUUGGACACGGACCAGACGCCUGCGAGAGGCAGCAGUGAGGAAUAUUAGGCAAUGGGCGAGAGCCUGAACCAGCCAAGUCGCGUGAAGGAUGACUGUCUUAUGGAUUGUAAACUUCUUUUAGACUGGAAUAACUAUAGUCACGGGUGACUCCCUGCAUGUACCGUAUGAAUAAGCAUCGGCUAACUCCGUG